GAUGAAGAACGCAGCGAAAUGCGAUACGUAAUGUGAAUUGCAGAAUUCAGUGAAUCAUCGAAUCUUUGAACGCAUAUUGCGCUCUCUGGUAUUCCGGAGAGCAUGCUUGUUUGAGUAUCAGUAAACACCUCAACUCCCUUUUCUUUUUUGAAAUGGGAGCUGGACUUGAGUGAUCCCAACACUUUUCUCACUGGAAAGUGGCGGGUCACUUGAAAUGCAGGUGCAGCUGGACUUUUCUCUGAGCUAUAAGCAUAUCUAUUUAGUCUGCCUAAAAAACAGAUUAUUACCUUUGCUGCAGCUAACAUAAAGGAGAUGAGUUCUUGUGCUGACUGAUGCAGGAUUCACAGAGACAGCUUUGCGGCUGACUUUGUAAACUCGAUCUCAAAUCAAGUAAGACUACCCGCUGAACUUAAGCAUAUCAAUAAGCGGAGUA
rnacentral:misc_RNA from 1 species